UGGGCCAUAAUUGUUCAGUAACUGUUGUGGAGUUAUAUUUUCAAAUGGUCAUUCAGUUUCUUCUUCUACAAUAGAAAACUAAAGCGUGUAGUGAGUUUAAGCUUUUGCUGCUUAAGUAACUUAGUGGUUGAUGGUUUUGCUGCUGACUACUUGUCUUACGAGGAAGAUGGUGAAAUAUUUGAUAACAUGGAUAUAUGAUCACUUGCAUACUGCUUGUACAAUGUGUCAAUACCUUUUGACAUCAGUCUGCACUUAGUUAUGUUCUGUAGCAUAUUUUCUACUUUGCUGUGUAUAUGUCGUUUAUUUUACCCAGACUCAGAUUUGUUCUACCUGGAUAUGUUGUCUUUUAAGUGUUUUCUUACCCAGAUCCAUUCUUUCUAAUAAAAUCUCAAAUUAUGUUUCCUAUUUUAUUUAAAUGGGUUCGGUUUUUAUGUUAUCCAUUUCUCCUACUUUUUGAAUUGAUACUUCUUUCAGGAAAAGGAAGAAAAAAAAUCCUUGCUUCCUGUUUGUUAUAUAUAAAAUCUCAAUUUUGGAAGUAGUUGUGAAAUUUGUUUGUUAAAAGGCCGUAGAUAAUAUUCUACCUGCCUGUGGGGAAAGAUGACAAAUAUUCUCCACAAAUUACAAACAGUUAUCUUUCCAUAGGAUUUAAGUAGUUUGGUUGGAAAGAAAAAAAUAAAUUCGCCUUUGAAAUUAUCUAAUAGUGCUACCGGGUGGAUACUUGUACACUAAUCUCUGACAAGUAUUUAGGAGUAUUGGAAUUUGAAAAUUGCAGAGACUAGCUCAGCAUCAGCCAACACAGUACCCAACAUUGGAAGAACUAAGCAUAGGAAUGAUCAAAUUCAAGGCCUUUGAUUUGGGUUGUCAUCAGAUUGCUCGUAGGGUCUGGAAGGACUAUUACGCCAAGGUUAGAAGGGAGAAAAUCAGUGAAAGAAUGAAGUAUCUGCAAGAUUUAGUACCAGGAUGUAACAAAAUCACAGACAAAGCUGGUAUGCUGAAUGAAAUCAUCAAUUAUGUUCAAUCUCUUCAACGGCAAGUAGAGGUAAAAAAAUAAUGGAGAAAGAACAUAUGGAUUUGUGUUUAAAGGAAAAACAGAAACUACUUUCAUACAAUUCAAACACAUAUAUAGAGUAGAAAAAGAAGGGUUUUCACUUACCAGAUCAAAGUUGAGAACAAGAUUGAUAGGAUGAGUAGAAAAAUAUAGCUUCUUUGAGAGUCUGCUCUGCUGUUACGGUGGAGUUUUGUUACUGUCAAUUGAAGAGCAGGGUUUUUUGCAUUUUGGGAAUGAAAUUAACUUAAUUUUUAAGGAUAAAAUGGUAAAAUAAUAAAUAAAAGU